rnacentral:rRNA from 1 species
UACGUAGGCAGCAAGCGUUGUUCGGAGUUACUGGGCGUAAAGGGUGUGUAGGCGGUUGUUUAAGUUUGGUGUGAAAUCUCCCGGCUCAACUGGGAGGGUGCGCCGAAUACUGAAUGACUAGAGUGCGGGAGAGGAAAGUGGAAUUCCUGGUGUAGCGGUGAAAUGCGUAGAUAUCAGGAGGAACACCGGUGGUGUAGACGGCUUUCUGGACCGUAACUGACGCUGAGGAACGAAAGCUAGGGGAGCAAACAGG